UCUAACCCCCGUCCACAACCUCUGCCCUUACAUGUAUCAGGUUAGCCUGGUCUCAGCGAGGGCACAUUUUGGCCUCCUGUGAAGUUGCUGCUGGGCUACCGCAGUUUGUUUGUCUGAUAGGGACACUUGACUUGAAUGUUCAGACCAGUGGUAUGUAAACUGAUUUGUCUUUGGAUAAAUAUUUAGAUGUCUCCCCGCUACUCCCGUUUUUUUCCUCUGGUAUAUCCAACAGGUAGUGUUGGUUUUGGAUUUACUCACCCUCUGAGGAUGAGUUCAAAGGGGUGCUCUCCUGCCAUUUAACAGGAGCCAGUGAUGUGUGGUUCGCCUAUAAGUCUGGGUGAGAUUGAAAAACGAUAAGGAGGAUUAUUAAAGACCUUCCUCCGAGAGGGAGAAACCCCAGUGUCUCAGGGUUUCUUGGCCAGCAGUAGCAGCAGCCUCACCGACCCUGCACGGCUGUAUUUAUAGAGCGCUGUGGAUGAGUCAUUUGGCUGAGUGCCCACUGUGCUUGAUUUACGAUACCCCCACCUCUCCCCUUAUCCACCACCAACUCCCACCCCACCCCUCACACUACUUCCUUCACAGACAAGCAGACACACCAUCUUGCCUUCGGCUCUGCUGUCUCACUCAGUUUCAUUCGGCCGCUCUUUCCUGCACUUCUUUCGUGUGUGUUUUAGAAAUAUGCUUCCUCUGCUCUUUCAGCUCCUUUGACAGAAGUACAUGUAGGGGAAAAGGCUACCCUGGGAGGCAGACAGUCUAGCCUUAGCCUGACCUUACCUAAGUGCCGCUGAUUGGUGUGUCACAUUGACUUGUCUUUGACUUGACAAAAAAGAUGGAAGUUUUGGGUGAAAGAGUUAUAUGAGGUGGAGGAGAGGCAAAGGGAGGAGGGGGAGAGUUGGAGGGACAGUAGUAAGUGCAGUGGUGUGUGUUUUAGCUGAAAAAGAAGGAGCUAAAUCUAUCUGUGGCACAGAACAAGAACAGAUGAAGAAGUGGCACUGGGGGGCCAGCGGUCACCAGCGACAGUGUGGCUUUUGCUUCCUCACUCCUCACCAGAGAAGGGGGCACAUCUUCCUCUGCGCCCCAUGGAUCUUAACUCCAACCCAGCUUCCCUGCAUCCCCCCACCCCCUGCACUGCAGCCCUCUCAGGCUCACAGUGCUUGGGCCAGAUUUGUCAGAGAAAACAACGAGGAUGUGGAGCGGCAACGCAGACAGGACUGCUGCGAUGGCCAAAAUGAAAACACGCUUAUCUUGCCGAAGCUGAUGGACACUGUCCGUUGGCUGUCCAAAUAGUUCGGGUGAUGAGUCAACAGGAGGUUUUAUGGGCUGCCUCCAAGGUUGGCCAUCACACAAAAAUGACCCAACCAUGAUUUUAUUGUACUGUGACACUGGAUCCUUCUUCUCUGGGAGCACAAAAAUUGUGUCAUUCAUAUUCCACGUUCCACCUCAUCAGUCACAAAGUGGAAAUAUGAAGUGGUAGGAAAGGCUCGUGCAGGGUGAUGAUUGAUGAAUGUCAGAUCUAUCUCUAUUUUCUAUCACAAUAAUGUUCACCUCUGACAGGCUCUUCAAUCUCUUAACGCAAUCUAGCAAAUGAAAAUGUUGAUUAAUGCUUCAUGACACAUGACUAGAAUGAAUUUGUUUUAUGAUGAAAUUACUUCAGACGAAUGAAAAUCAUGAGAACGUUUUUUUUAUUACCCAGCUGUAAAGACCUUCUUUCAUCACAUUUUUGUUGAAUUUCUCUGACCAAAGAUCCUCACUAACAGCACAUCCAGAGCCUAAAUUAAAAACAAGGCUGUCUCAGUCUCCUUUUUGCUCAUGCGUCCUCCUUUGCAGACUCUUCCCUUCAGUUCUCAUCGAAACAAACAGAGCCAGCAGGCUGCUCUGCCUCCAUUAGUCACAAUAAACUAGAAGUCAGGUUUCUAUAACCCUGCCUGAAAGGUUCAAAGGGCUUCUCCCAGAGGCCAGGCUGACACAACCUACCAAUUUUGGCUGUGGGGAGUGCAGGUGUGCAUCUGCCCCGAAGCCCUCAUCAGUGCUGAAAGGUGAUAUUAGGAGGUAUUAGUGAGUGGAGCAACAGGCACUUUGUCAGGUCCACUCCUUGUUUCCUUCUCUGGUGUGGAUAAGAGGAGGUUCAUCCCCUUCUCUGAGUGCCAGGAUGUUUGUCUGGGGCUGUUCCUUCCAACAUAAUUGCUGUUGGAUGUUUAUCUUUUCUUUAUAUUAGUGAUUAAGAUGAAAUCCCGAAAAACUUUUGCAAACAAAGAGGCAGAUUGACGUGAGCGACAUGUUAUGCUGCGAAAUAAAAUACAAUAAACUUUU